CGCCAGAGGAAUGCUCUUCAACAGCGGAAUCACUGGAAAGUGCGGGGAAGUCUUCCGCGUGAAGGCAAAGUUACCAUUCUACCCUCAAACACGCAAGGCGCAUGCGCCACAGACGAAUUUACCGUUUUACCCUUCAUUUGUAAUCUAUAAAUAGGACAUACGUGCUCUCUUGUACUCUACGUUAUCUCUCAUUUUCGAAUACAGCAGCAAAUUCUCUCUUGUGUUCUAG
rnacentral:lncRNA from 1 species